UUUUUAACGGCCGCGGUACUCUGACCGUGCAAAGGUAGCAUAAUCAUUUGCCUUAUAAUUGAAGGCUAGUAUGAAUGGUUUGACAAGAAUAUAGCUGUCUCUAUAUAAUUUAAUAGAAUUUUAUGUUUAGGUGAAAAAGCCUAGAUUUAAUUAAAAGACAAGAAGACCCUAUCGAGCUUUAAAAAAAUUAAUGGGGAAAUUUUAAUAUUAAUAAAAAAAUUGCUGUUAAAUAUUUUGGUUGGGGCGACUGAGGAACAUUAAAAGCUUCCUUUAUAUAUAUUAAAACAUACAGGUAUUGAUCCAUAGUUUGUGAUUAAAGGAAUUAGUUACCGUAGGGAUAACAGCAUUAUCUUUUUUGAAAGCUCUUAUUGAAAAAAAGGUUUGUGACCUCGAUGUUGGACCANAAUGUCCUAAAGAUGCANAANUCUUUAAGGGUUGGUCUGUUCNACCAUUAAAAUUCUA
rnacentral:rRNA from 1 species